ensembl:lncRNA
GCCGCCGUUCAGAGUGUUGUUCGUUGCCACACAGCCACCACCGGAAUAUGUUUUAUUUAUUCCACUACACACGUUAAAACAUCACCGACCUGAGUAAACACAGCAUAGAGCAGUUGAAACGUUGGUGUGAAGGUGUGAAGGUGUGGACUCUGCUAUGAAUCAGGCUGAGGACCCAGAGGACGGAGUCCCUCCCUCUGAAGCCCCUCUGUGUGGGGAACAUGACAGCCAGACCAAAGCUCAGAGGAUCCAUCAGAGACCAGGACCUGGACCUGGACCCAGCUGUGUGUCCAUGAAGAGUAACCGGUCUAUGGAGCCUCCUCCACUCUUCAAAGAUGUUGGUCCCUCUGUUGAUGCAAGUUCACAUCAGCAGAGAGGAAAGUCUCCUGAACCCAGAUGUUUGUCCAUGAAGAGUGAUCGGUCUAAAGGUUGGCUGAUUGACUUCAAAGAUGGAUGCCGUUCUUAUGACCCAGAGUAAGUUCUUAAACAGAUGAAGAACUGUUCUGAUCCUCAGUUUUGAACUACAUGAAUGUUUGUUCAUUGUUUAAAGUGUUGUUUCCAUGACGAUCCAUCAUGACAGAACUCAUUAUCUUCAUCUAACUGGUCUGUGUGUGUUUAAGUGUGAAUCAUUAACUGUAAACAUCCUCAGAUGUAAACACAAUGUGAGCCAGUUCCUCCACAUCAGGAUCAGCAGAGGUCACAUCUGGAGACAGCUGCAGGUUUCUGGAGUCAGAUGACUAGGAAUGAACAUGUGAUUAGAAUAAACUCAGUGCUCUGUGGACCAGCUGACGUGGUCUCUGGACUCCAUGCAGAGGUUUGGACAAAGUAUCGUCAGUAGACUCUGUGAAAAGGUCCAAAGACUAGUUCAGAAGAUCUAAGGAGACUUCUGGAGGUCAGGGGACGGACUAAAGAGGUUUGGAGGAGUUCCAUAGGACUUUGUACCAGAUGCAGAGGUCUGCAGACGUUGUUUUUAUGACCCACAGUAAGAACUAAAACCAGAUGAAACUGAUGACUAACUGUCACUCAACUAAUAAACUGUCCGUCAUCAUCGACAGUCUUCAGCAUCUGGUUUUCAUCAUGAUCCAUCAUGACAGAAGCCAAUAUCUUUAACUAAUGUUGUAUUGGUGUUGAUGGUGUGGUGGAAGAUUUUGCACAGACAAUCGUUAAGUAAGAAACAAAGGCUCUGAGUCAAGUAUGUCUUUUCUCCGUUUAUUUCCUUGCAAGGGAAAAAGGGUCACAACAGCUACGUGGUCAGUAGACUGUCAAGAACCUCCUUUUUCCUCCCAAC